CCCAGCUCUCUGCACCUGUGAAUCAAGCAGCUCCAGUCAUCCAAGGACAGAUGCCCUGAAAAAAUUUUGUUCUUCACUUCACCACCAAAUUCCAGGCUACUAUUUGGGUGAAGUAAUGAGACCAGUUGGAGGACUUAUUGAAGUAAAACUGACUCACGAAAGACCAUGGAACAGCUUUAGAGAUGAUCCAGAAGAUGAUUAAAGGACUGGAAAUGAAGACUGACAUUGAAAGGUUA